UGCUGAGGCCCCAGGAUGGGACCGCGGCCUAUCAGGUAGUAGGUGGGGUAACCGCCCCACCUAGCCUACGACGGGUACGGGCCCUGAGAGGGGGAGCCCGGAGAUGGGCACUGAGACAAGGGUCUAGGCCCUAAGGGGCGCAGCAGGCGCGAAGAUUCCGCAAUGCCCGAAAGGGCGACGGAGUGAACCCGAGUGCCACCCGCUGAGGGUGGCUGUUCCCCUGUGUAAAAAGCAGGGGGCAGGAAGGGGAGGGCAAGGCUGGUGGCAGCCGCCGCGGUAAAACCAGCUCCCCGAGGGGUUCCCACGCAUACUGGGCCCAAAGCGUCCGUAGCCGGCCCUGUAAGUCUGCAGUUAAAUCCGCCUGUAGACAGGCGGGUUGCUGCAGAUACUGCAGGGCUAGGGAGCGGGAGGAGCCGGGGGUAUUCCCGGGGGAGCGGUAAAAUGCGUAGAUCCCGGGAGGACCACCAGUGGCGAAGGCGCCCGGCUUGAACGCGUCCGACGGUGAGGGACGAAAGCUGGGGGAGCAAACCGGAUUAGAUACCCGGGUAGUCCCAGCCGUAAACGAUGCCGGCUAGGUGCUGGCCAAGGUUUCGGCCUUGGCCAGUGUCGAAGCGAAGGCAUUAAGCCGGCCGCCUGAGGAGUACGGCCGCAAGGCUGAAACUUGAAGGAAUUGACGGGGGGGCACCACAAGGGGUGAAUGCCUGCGGCUUAAUUGGACUCAACGCCGGGAAUCUUACCGGGGGCGACAGCAGGAUGAAGGUCAGGCUGAAGACCUUACCAGACGCGCUGAGGGGUGGUGCAUGGCCGUCGCCAGCUCGUGCCGUGAGGUGUCCUGUUAAGUCAGGCAACGAGCGAGACCCCCGCCCCUAGUUGCCAGCGGCCUCCUUCGGGAGGGACCGGGCAAACUAGGGGGACCGCCUCCGAAGAGGAGGAGGAAGGUGGGGGCUACGGCAGGUCAGUAUGCCCCUAAUCCCCCGGGCGCAC
rnacentral:rRNA from 1 species